UUCCUUUCCUCUAUGAAUAUAUUAGUAUGAACUUGAGGUAAUGACCUAUCAAAUUUAUUAUUCACUUUUAGAUAUUAUCAAUUCUAGUGGAAAUGACGAAGAAUCACCCCCGUAUCCAAAUUUGAUUUUGACUUACUUUUUCCCACUUACUUGCCAACCAAUCCAGUUACGACUAGUUUUAUUAGGUCAGCUGAGACGGGAAGUUAAAUCAUAUAAAUAGAAGGCCUGUCUCUUGUUAUGCAUCACAACAACCAACUCUCUCGUACAGUAAAGUUCUAACUACCUACUCGACUAAAAAUGAAAUCCUGGGUAUUUUUCUUUGCUAUGAUGCUCCUUGUAGCAUCCACUUAUGCACAAGGAGACUUCGGAGGUUUUGGAACAGGAGACUUCGGAAAUUUUGGAGGUGAAGGAGGUGAAGGUGGUGACAUAGAUGAUGCAUCUCUCGACACCUUAGGAUCAGAUGUUGGCGGUUUCGAUCAAGGAUCGUUUGGUGACAGCUCUUAAAGUAUUAUCCUAGGCGAAUAAAGAUGAAAUCUCCGAACUAUAAUUAGAUAUCAGAAAACGGUCUCUGAUAACUAGAUCUAUUCCUGAUCAACUGUCAUGUGACAUGUACAUAUUUGCAUGUAAAAACUCUGUACAUUUCCU